rnacentral:rRNA from 1 species
GAUGAACGCUGGCGGCGUGCCUAAUACAUGCAAGUCGAGCGAACGGACGAGAAGCUUGCUUCUUUGAUGUUAGCGGCGGACGGGUGAGUAACACGUGGAUAACCUACCUAUAAGACUGGUAUAACUUCGGGAAACCGGAGCUAAUACCGGAUAAUAUUUUGAACCGCAUGGUUCAAAAGUGAAAGACGGUCUUGCUGUCACUUAUAGAUGGAUCCGCGCUGCAUUAGCUAGUUGGUAAGUUAACGGCUUACCAAGGCAACGAUGCAUAGCCGACCUGAGAGGGUGAUCGGCCACACUAGAGGUGAGACACGGUCAAGACUCCUAAGGGAGGCAGCAGUAGGGAAUCUUCGGCAGUGGGCGAAAGCAUGACGGAGCAACGCGGCGUGAGUGAUGAAGGUCUUCGGAGCGUAAAACUCUGUUAUGAGGGAAGAACAUAUGUGUAAGUAGCUGUGCACAGCUUGACGGUACCUAAUCAAAAAGCAACGGCUAACUACGUG